GGGGGUGUUGGGGGGCGUAGAGUUUUUACAGCCCAAUAACAGAAGAGAGCCUUGCAAUGAGGAAUGGCCAUUUUCCACAAGAAGAUCAUGGGAAAGUCUGCCUAUAUCAAUCAGAUUCAAGUUGGCUGGGAAUUGUAGAGUAAAUUUUAGAGAGGGCUGGGUUUCAUGCCUUUUUUUUUUUUUUUUUUGAUAGGAAGACUGAAACUUUUAUUACGUAAAGGAUAAGUACAUAGAAAGAUUCAAUUAUUGGUGGACUUUCCUCCUAGCAAGUUACAAAACCAUGGAUACCCUUUGCAUGUUGUGCCAAGGCAUGUGCGGAUUUUAUUUCCCUGUCGAGUGUCGCCUCACAUGUUGGACUUUGACGCUACUAAAAUCAUGCAACUUCUGCUGGAUGCUCUCAAGGACGUCAAUCACCGUAGCUGGUGGAAUGGUGGAGCCCGACAGAGCAGUGAAAAUCACGUGGAAGUCAGUUUCAAAAAUAACUUUUUGUACGCCAACAUCCCAUCCCAUGCAAACGAAACCGCUACGUCCAUCGCCUUUGCUUCAGCCUCCAACCAAGGGACCCAACGGCAAAGUGCAGAUGCUGACUGAGGGCUGCGAUCACUGUUCCUGCAUGGUCCCGAAUCACUGUACCGAUGCCCACUGUGCCGAGAUUCUUGAACCACGGAUUUGAAGGAGGAACUUUCAUGCCUUUUUAGUCAUGAUAAUAAUGUUCUGAAAAAUUCUGCUAAUAAAAUAUAAGGAUAUAUUUCUGAAAAUUUUUAAGAGAAAAUAUAGGGACACAAUUUUAUUUUA